rnacentral:lncRNA from 1 species
CCAUGCUGUUCGCUAACAGUUUCUCUGAAUGCUAUAGGCUUUGAAAGCGAACAGCAUGGAUCCUGACCAGACUGCGCGGAGGCCUGUCAGCAAAAGCGUGACCACGAAGUUUACAAAUACGGACCCUGCGAUGAGAAACCUCUAACCUGCAACAGAGUUCCAAACGUGGAUUAUAUAUUUGAUGAACAGUAUAGAAGCAAGAUGAAGGUGGACGUUGCGAAGUGUGAGGGCGGAUGUGGCCAAGACUUAGACUUUUGUUGCCAGCCAAGCAUGACUACGAAGAAAAUAAUCACCAUGGAAAACAAUAGCACUAACCCGAGUUUGACAAAAACCCAGGAGGUUACAAUUAUAAAGGAUUGUGAAUGCGAGGAGUUGCUGCCCUAGGUGGAGUUGUGUAAAAUCUGUGACAAUUUACCUAAUAGACUUCUGUUUCCUUAGUUCGUCUUCUGCAAAUUUCUUAAUGUAAUGGACCCGUAAAUGACAAUCGGAAAUGUUCGUAUGAUUUCGCACUACUGUUAUGCAAUUUGGCAUUCUUCGCAUAUAAAUGUAGCUGAAUGGAAACAACGCUUUCCGUAAAAAAACGGAAACUGUCGAAGUUGCCUACGGUGAAUACGUAAAUUUCCGAUUGUAAUUACGGAUCCACUACCUUAAAACAUUUAGUAGCUUGUUUUUUGUGGCAAUAGUUAAAAUAUAUGGUUUAGGAAAUUUCAGUUCAUAUUUAAUUCGCAUUUUUGCUCAUUCUGAUAUCUUUAUCAUGCAUUCAAAUAGUUUAAAUUUAUGUAAUAUGCUUAUAUAAUAUGUUGUAGCUUACAUUACAUUCAUAGUAAUAGACGCCAUAUGAUAAAAAUACUUUAGUAAAAACAAAA